AGUGAACGCUGGCGGUAGGCCUAACACAUGCAAGUCGAACGGCAGCACAGUAAGAGUUUGCUCUUACGGGUGGCGAGUGGCGGAAGGGUGAGGUAUACAUCGGAAUCUACUUUUUCGUGGGGGAUAACGUAGGGAAACUUACGCUAAUACCGCAUACGACCUACGGGUGAAAGCAGGGGAUAUUCGGACCUUGCGCGAUUGAAUGAGCCGAUGUCGGAUUAGCUAGUUGGCGGGGUAACGGCCCACCAAGGCGACGAUCCGUGGCCGGUCUGAGAGGAGGAUCAGCCACACUGGAACGUAGCCACGGUCCAGACGCCUGCGGUAGGCAGCAGUGGGGAAUAUUGGGCAAUGGGCGCAAGCCUGAUCCAGCCAUACCGCGUGUGUGACGAAGGCCUUCGGGUUGUAAAGCCCUUUUGUUGGGAAAGAAAAGCAUCAGGUUAAUACCCCGCUGUUCUGACGGUACCCAAUGAAUAAGCACCGGCUAACUUCGUG
rnacentral:rRNA from 1 species